CAGUAGCCGCGGUAAAACGGAGGGUGCAAGCGUUAAUCGGAAUUACUGGGCGUAAAGCGUGCGUAGGCGGUUCGUUAAGUCUGUUGUGAAAGCCCCGGGCUCAACCUGGGAAUGGCAAUGGAUACUGGCGAGCUAGAGUGUGUCAGAGGAUGGCGGAAUUCCCGGUGUAGCGGUGAAAUGCGUAGAGAUCGGGAGGAACAUCAGUGGCGAAGGCGGCCAUCUGGGACAACACUGACGCUGAGGCACGAAAGCGUGGGGAGCAAACAGGAUUAGAUACCCCUGUAGUCCCUGUCUCUUAUAC
rnacentral:rRNA from 1 species